rnacentral:rRNA from 1 species
ACUCAAAUGAAUAGACGGGGGCCCGCACAAGCGGCGGAGCAUGUGCCUUAAUUCGAGGCAACGCGAAGAACCUUACCUACGUUGAACUACGCAGGAAAAGCCAUAGAGAUAUGGUGUCCGUAAGGGCCUGCGAUAGGUGGUGCAUGGCUGUCGUCAGCUCGUGUCGUGAGAUGUUGGGUUAAGUCCCGCAACGAGCGCAACCCUUGUCCUAUGUUGCCAGCGGAUAAUGCCGGGGACUCGUAGGAGACUGCCGGGGUCAACUCGGAGGAAGGUGGGGAUGACGUCAAGUCUGCAUGCCCCUUACGCGUAGGGCUGGACACAUGCUACAAUGGCCGGUACAAAGGGCUGCCAAUCCGCGAGGAGGAGCGAAUCCCAAAAAGCCGGUCUCAGUUCGGAUCGAAGUCUGCAACUCGACUUCGUGAAGUCGGAGUCGCUAGUAAUCCCGGAUCAGCUACGCCGGGGUGAAUACGUUCCCGGGCCUUGUACACACCGCCCGU